rnacentral:rRNA from 1 species
CGAGCGGAAGGCCCUUCGGGGUACUCGAGCGGCGAACGGGUGAGUAACACGUGGGUAACCUGCCUCUAGCUCUGGGAUAAGCCUGGGAAACUGGGUCUAAUACCGGAUAUGACGCGUCCCCGCAUGGGGGUGUGUGGAAAGUUUUUCGGCUGGAGAUGGACUCGCGGCCUAUCAGCUUGUUGGUGGGGUAGUGGCCUACCAAGGCGAUGACGGGUAGCCGGCCUGAGAGGGCGACCGGCCACACUGGGACUGAGACACGGCCCAGACUCCUACGGGAGGCAGCAGUGGGGAAUAUUGCGCAAUGGGCGGAAGCCUGACGCAGCAACGCCGCGUGAGGGAUGACGGCCUUCGGGUUGUAAACCUCUUUCAGCGCUGACGAAGCCUUCGGGUGACGGUAGGCGCAGAAGAAGCACCGGCUAACUACGUGCCAGCAGCCGCGGUAAUACGUAGGGUGCGAGCGUUGUCCGGAAUUAUUGGGCGUAAAGGGCUCGUAGGCGGUUUGUUGCGUCUGCUGUGAAAGCCCGGGGCUUAACCCCGGGUCUGCAGUGGAUACGGGCAGGCUAGAGUCCGGCAGGGGAGACUGGAAUUCCUGGUGUAGCGGUGGAAUGCGCAGAUAUCAGGAGGAACACCGGUGGCGAAGGCGGGUCUCUGGGCCGGUACUGACGCUGAGGAGCGAAAGCGUGGGGAGCGAACAGGAUUAGAUACCCUGGUAGUCCACGCCGUAAACGUUGGGCGCUAGGUGUGGGUUCCCUUCCACGGGGUCCGUGCCGUAGCUA